CCUACGGGAGGCAGCAGUGGGGAAUUUUGGACAAUGGGGGCAACCCUGAUCCAGCCAUGCCGCGUGAGUGAAGAAGGCCUUCGGGUUGUAAAGCUCUUUCGGCCGGGAAAAAAUCGCCUCUCCUAAUACGGGGGGUGGAUGAUGGUACCGGACUAAGAAGCACCGGCUAACUACGUGCCAGCAGCCGCGGUAAUACGUAGGGUGCGAGCGUUAAUCGGAAUUACUGGGCGUAAAGCGUGCGCAGGCGGUUUUUUAAGACAGGCGUGAAAUCCCCGGGCUUAACCUGGGAACUGCGCUUGUGACUGGAAGGCUAGAGUACGGCAGAGGGGGGUGGAAUUCCACGUGUAGCAGUGAAAUGCGUAGAGAUGUGGAGGAACACCGAUGGCGAAGGCAGCCCCCUGGGCCGAUACUGACGCUCAUGCACGAAAGCGUGGGGAGCAAACAGGAUUAGAUACCCUGGUAGUCCACGCCCUAAACGAUGUCAACUAGGUGUUGGGUGGGUAAAACCAUUUAGUACCGGAGCUAACGCGUGAAGUUGACCGCCUGGGGAGUACGGCCGCAAGGUUAAAACUCAAAUGAAUUGACGG
rnacentral:rRNA from 1 species